rnacentral:rRNA from 1 species
UUAACACAUGCAAGUCGAACGAUGAAGCCCUUCGGGGUGGAUUAGUGGCGAACGGGUGAGUAACACGUGGGCAAUCUGCCCUUCACUCUGGGACAAGCCCUGGAAACGGGGUCUAAUACCGGAUAACACUCCUGCCUGCAUGGGCGGGGGUUAAAAGCUCCGGCGGUGAAGGAUGAGCCCGCGGCCUAUCAGCUUGUUGGUGGGGUAAUGGCCCACCAAGGCGACGACGGGUAGCCGGCCUGAGAGGGCGACCGGCCACACUGGGACUGAGACACGGCCCAGACUCCUACGGGAGGCAGCAGUGGGGAAUAUUGCACAAUGGGCGAAAGCCUGAUGCAGCGACGCCGCGUGAGGGAUGACGGCCUUCGGGUUGUAAACCUCUUUCAGCAGGGAAGAAGCGAAAGUGACGGUACCUGCAGAAGAAGCGCCGGCUAACUCGUGC